GCUCACUUAGCACAGUGGUAGUGCAUCGGAUGAGGUCUUCGCUGUGUCUUGACUUCAAUCCCGGUCCUGAGUUCGAAUCUCAGAGUGAGCU